AGUGAUCGCUUGCUGCGUGCCUAAUACUUGCACUUCGAACGGAGUGGCGCUCGGGUGAGUAAUGUAUAGCUAAUCUGCCCUACACUAGCGGACAACAGCUUGAAACGACUGCUUAUACUCCAUAGGGUAGGAUGAGGCUAUAUUGUAUCAGCAAUUUGGUGAGGUAAUGGCUCACCAAGGCUAUGACGCAUAACUGGUCUGAGAGGAUGAGGAGUCACACUGGAACUGAGACACAGUGCAGACUCGUUCGGGAGGCAGCAGUAGGGAAUAUUGGUCAAUGGGGGAAACCCUGACGCAGCAACGCGGCGUGGAGGAUGACACGUGUCGGAGCGUAAAGUCCUUUUGUUAGGGAAGCGGUACCAAGCGAAUAAGCACCGGCUAACACCGUGCACGCAGCCGCGGUAAUAC
rnacentral:rRNA from 1 species